AAGUCGUAACAAGGUCUCCGUUGGUGAACCAGCGGAGGGAUCAUUAUAGAGUAUCAACUCACUAAACCCACUGUAAAUAUACCCAAACUCAGCUCCUCCGGCAGGCGGUCCCAGGGCGGGACUGCAGCCUUUUGGCGCCUGCCGAAGGUAGCACCACUUUUGCUCUUUACCAGUACAAUCUGAGUCCUUUGACAAAAUAUCAAAAUUUUCAAUUGUGGAUCUCUUGGUUCUG
rnacentral:misc_RNA from 1 species